rnacentral:rRNA from 1 species
UACGGGGGGGGCAAGCGUUGUUCGGAAUUACUGGGCGUAAAGGGCGCGUAGGCGGUUUGCUAAGUUGAAUGUGAAAACUCUGGGCUUAACCCAGAGCCUGCAUUCAAUACUGGCAGGCUAGAGUUCUGGAGGGGGUAGCGGAAUUCCUGGUGUAGCGGUGAAAUGCGUAGAUAUCAGGAGGAACACCGGUGGCGAAGGCGGCUAUCUGGACAGAGUCUGACGCUGAGGCGCGAAAGCUAGGGGAGCAAACAG